AUGUCUGUAGAAGGAAGGGAAAGGAGGUAACGAAUACGGAAACGUAUCAAUUACGAGCGCUGUUGGUUGGAAAGCAGGCCGGGAAAUGGACGGGAGUCGUACCUUCACGGUAUUCGUACAGAUUCACCUCGUGGCCCUUCUUGCCCAGGUGAAGCGCCAACAGUGAGCCAACCUAUGGAAAGGGGAGGGUGAAAGAAUACAAAUGAAUAUUCGGUCCAGGAUUUAUGGAAAUCCAUCACAGUGAGCCUCGUGUUGAAAUGCUCGAUUUGGUCAUGAAGACCACAAACCGGAGAAGGGAGACCAUACAACGCUCACGCUUCGAAGUAUUAACCGCGGUCAGUGCAAAAAAAAACGGAAAGCAGGGAACAGGAAUAACAUUAUGUUGUGAAAUAGAUGAGAUUGCUUCCAGAACGAUCAACAACAGCCGAAAAAACAAUCAGUAUUAUUGAUAAGACCGGAAGAUAGAUGGUAAAAAAUGCAUAAGGAAGUAAUUAAAAUGUCUGAUUUACGUUCGAGAUUUAAUGAGGGGCGAAAGUACAAGUGGCUACACACGCAGGAUUAACAUACACACGCGCGCGCCCAACAAAUCACCCUUCACUGCUUGAUCACUCUCUUUUGGUUAGAACCGGGGCAACCCAACUUACCAAAC